UUCCUACGGGGGGCAGCAGUGAGGAAUAUUGGUCAAUGGGCGGAAGCCUGAACCAGCCAAGUCGCGUGAGGGAAUAAGGCCCUACGGGUCGUAAACCUCUUUUGCCGGGGAGCAAGGGCGGGGACGUGUCCCGGCCCGGAGAGUACCCGGAGAAAAAGCAUCGGCUAACUCCGUGCCAGCAGCCGCGGUAAUACGGAGGAUGCGAGCGUUAUCCGGAUUUAUUGGGUUUAAAGGGUGCGUAGGCGGACAGUCAAGUCAGCGGUAAAAAUGCGGUGCUCAACGCCGUACAGCCGUUGAAACUGGCG
rnacentral:rRNA from 1 species